GCUUAAAAACUGACAGUCUAUUAAGCUUAUAAACGGGUGGAUGGACAGACAGUUGGACAUACGGACCUAUCUAUAGCGACUGGGCUGGAUACUUCAAGGACAACAGACGUUUGUUGACAUCACUGGUUCCCAUUUGGGUUUCUCACUGUAUAAAUUAAUUAGUCAUAUUGGACAUUCCUUUAAUCUCAACGUACACUUGCCAUUUAAAAAGUUUAUUGGGCGUCUUGUGAAACAAGAAACAAGUCAAUUUCAAAACCUACAUAUAAGACGCAGGCGAUAUCAGUGCUCAGCAGUUCUACGCAAAAAUCUAUAAAUAAGACAUAGAAGACAAUGACGCCAGAUAAAAGUGCAGGUGUUGAUUUAGUAUCGAUCAAAUAAAACACUUAAGCGUACAGUAUAUUAGGAUUUCUCUCAAAGAAAUGUUAACAAAAUCGACAAAAACAAUAGAUAUCGCUAUAGUCGAGUUCCCUGACAAUCCGUUACUAAUUUAUACAUUUUUCUGCCAAGCCAAUAAAAAAUGGGACAAAAAUAUUGAGUUGAAUAAAGAUUUAAAAUUUUUUUA